UACGUAGGGUCCGAGCGUUGUCCGGAAUUACUGGGCGUAAAGAGCUCGUAGGUGGUUUGUCGCGUUGUUCGUGAAAACUCACAGCUUAACUGUGGGCGUGCGGGCGAUACGGGCAGACUUGAGUACUGCAGGGGAGACUGGAAUUCCUGGUGUAGCGGUGGAAUGCGCAGAUAUCAGGAGGAACACCAAUAGCGAAGGCAGCUCGCUGGGACGUGACUGACACUAAGGCGCGAAAGCGUGGGGAGCGAACAGG
rnacentral:rRNA from 1 species